rnacentral:rRNA from 1 species
GAUGAACGCUGGCGGCGUGCUUAACACAUGCAAGUCGAACGGAAAGGCCCAAGCUUGCUUGGGUACUCGAGUGGCGAACGGGUGAGUAACACGUGGGUGAUCUGCCCUGCACUUCGGGAUAAGCCUGGGAAACUGGGUCUAAUACCGGAUAGGACCACGUCUUGGAUGUUGUGGUGGAAAGUUUUUUCGGUGUGGGAUGAGCUCGCGGCCUAUCAGCUUGUUGGUGGGGUAAUGGCCUACCAAGGCGUCGACGGGUAGCCGGCCUGGGAGGGUGUACGGCCACAUUGGGACUGAGAUACGGCCCAGACUCCUACGGGAGGCAGCAGUGGGGAAUAUUGCACAAUGGGCGCAAGCCUGAUGCAGCGACGCCGCGUGGGGGAUGACGGCCUUCGGGUUGUAAACUCCUUUCGCUAGGGACGAAGCGUUUUUGUGACGGUACCUGGAGAAGAAGCACCGGCUAACUACGUG